CAACAGAGGAGGUCUGGAGGAAACAGGAAAGAUGAGGGCGAGAGCAAAGAGGAGUAAUGACGGGCAGGAUUAGUGUGCUCGGCGACUUGCAAACAGGCUUCUACAGGGGAAAUGCUGUCGGGAAAUGCUGGGGGGCACCGUGGACCCGUGGGCCGGCCAGUCAGGACGAGCCACUUGUGGUCUAUCCUGACAUGCUCUGAUCCACAGUUGAGACAGCCUUUUCCCAAGGCCCCGAGUCCUACUUGCGAAGCUGUGUGCCUGAGGGGAGGAGACUUCAGCCCCCGGGACAUGUGAAGUUAGAGGAUUCAAUGAGGGAAACCCGGGACUUCUGCUGGCAAUCCAGCACCUGGGACUGUUUGCCCUUCUGGACUUGAACCAGGAGACUCAUAGUUUUAGGAACUGUUGGCAAUCAUCUGGGACCACACAAGGAGAGCGAAACUAGGAUGAAGCCCCCAAAGGAGGAAAGAAAUUAGGUUCUUGGUGACAUCAAGCUCUAGGAUGAAGCUUUGCCACCGUUCGACCCCUCAGUUAUCAAGCAGUGUGCUCUCCUGGGCCUGACUCUUGUCUGUGCAAUGGGCGAUAUCUCCCCUUUCAUUUGAUCCUGGGGGGAUGAAAGGAGACUGCCAAGUGUCCAGUACAGAGUUCAAGAAACGGCACGACAGGGACAGAAGUCGGAUGGCACUGGACUGAAGUGCCCAAGAGGUGAGAAAGUGGGAUGAUGAACAGAUGAUUCUUUCAAGGACGUUAACACACAGUUCACAGAAAAUGAAGUACAAACGGCCGCUGAACAUGAAGUUAUGGUCAACUUCACUCGAACAGAGAAGCACAAAUCAAAGCAGUAAGAUGGUGGGAAACAAGCUCUCUCAGACUCAGUGG
rnacentral:lncRNA from 1 species